rnacentral:sRNA from 1 species
UAGACUGUCCCAAGGGUGCCUACGGAGCUGGCUGCACUUCAGAAUGUCAGUGUGUGGAGGAGAAUACCCUGGAAUGCAGUGCCAAAAAUGGUAGUUGCACCUGCAAAUCUGGUUACCAAGGCAACAGAUGCCAGAAAGAUGGCCUCUGGGGACCAGAGGGCUGGUUCUCCUCUGCACCCUGUGAAAAUGGAGGUCAGUGCAACAAAAAAACUGGAAAUUGUGACUGCACUCCUGAUUACACAAGAAAAUCCUGUACCAUAUUGAGAUGCAUUUCCCUUACCAAUCUGGCUCUCAGCAGGCAGUCCAGCCUGAUGAAGUACCAGCAAAAUGUCAGCUCCCACAGAGAAGUGCCACAGAGGCGACAGUGCAGCAGUGACAGGCCUUUCAAAAAGCUAUUGUGCAAAUUCAGUUUUAAAAUAGGGAUGUGGUUGAGGACAGAUGGGUAUUUCAUUACCAAUGCGUUCAUCUCCCCCAUCGUCCAAGAGAAUGAGAGGGGGUCAUGGUGCAGCUGAUAUAAAGCCAUUAAGUUGAGUAGCGGUUGAUUUGGUCUUUAGAAGAUUUGUCUUCCUAUCUGUAUUUUCGAAAAGUUAAUAUUCAAAUUAGCUGUCAUUUUUAGUACAUACCUGCUAAAGGGGGGCCAAGAAUUGUUCUUUUUUCUAAUGGAUCACCUUCCAGUGUCUCAAAUAGAUCAUUAAAAACAAAGUUAAUCAUGUCA